rnacentral:misc_RNA from 1 species
GCACAUGACUGCUGGCAGCUCGUAGGAAGCGCGACGUGGCUGAACAUUGAAGUUGUUCCCUGACGUUUCAGUCAUGUUUGUGUCCAAGACUGGCAUCAAGGUGGAUGACAUACCCAUCUUGACAAAGCAUGAUAUAAGAAGCAAAGUUUGGGGAUAUAUUGAAGAACAUGACUUGGCCAAUUUCCCUCGUCCAGUUGACCACCGUAUCCCCAAUUUCAAGGGUGCAGGUGAGGCAGGGCAGCGUGUUCGUGACCUGCAGUGCUUCACAGCCGCUAAGACAGUCAAAGUCAAUCCAGACAAGCCUCAGGAAGAAGUGAGGUUUUUCGUAUUAGAGGCCGGCAAAACACUGCUGAUGCCCACACCACGUCUCCGCAGUGGACUCUUUAACCGCAUUGAUGGCAAUCCAUCAGAAAACAAGGAGACCUUAAGAACCAUGGCAAGCACAGAGGGAAUGAAGAAGUUCUCAAAACCUGUGGAUCUUGAGGCAGACAUUAAGGUUGAUCUCAUUGUAAUUGGGUCUGUGGCAGUCUCGCGCACAGGUCGAAGAAUUGGGAAAGGUGAAGGAUUUGCUGACCUUGAAUAUGGCAUGAUGAAAGCCAUGAAGGCAGUUGAUGACAACACUCUUGUUGUUACCACAGUGCAUGACUGCCAGCUGUUUGAUACCCUGCCCGACCGGCUCUUCGGCCCACAUGAUGUGCCAGUGGACUUCAUUGUAACCCCAACAGAAGUGUUCCAGGUUUCACAUCGUUUGCCUAAGCCAGAGGGAAUCUACUGGCACCUUUUGUCUCCAGAGAAGCUAAAACAGGUUCCAAUCUUGAAAACACUUCGGGAAAAGGAGCGAGAGGCUGGAAAAGAUGUGACUCUCACAGAACUAACUGAGGAACAAAAGGCAGCCAAUAGUCGUGGUCGUGGUGGGGGCCAAGGAACCAGAGGCAGAGGCAGAGGCCGAGGCCGAGGAGGUGGCCGAGGAGGAGGCAGGACUUUGUCAGAGGGAGAAGACAAUAAAGGCCAGAAGAACAUUCAAGAUGGAUCUGUUACAAUCAAUGUCAGCAAGAAGAACCGAAUAGUGAAGAGAACAGUGGAAGCAACGAAUGAGCAGGACCGCCUUGGUUCAGCUGACCUGGACAAUGAGAACCAGGGGGGGAAGGGUCUCAAGACUAGAAAGCCUCGGAAUCCAUUCACAUAUGCAGUGUUCCUUGGUAAAGUUCCUCCAGCCUGUAGAGUGCGUGAGCUCAAAGAAGCCCUGCAAGGUCGAGAUGUGAGGCCCAUUGACAUCACUUGGCGUGGAAGGAAUGGAUUUGCCUUCCUGCGAUUCACGGGCCCUGUAGAAGAGUGUGAUGACGUCCUCACAAAACUGGAGGGCCUCACACUACAAGAGCAGCCUUUGCUGAUCCAGCGUGCCAAGGAUAAGAUGGUGAUGAAGGACAACGAAAAUACAGGAACGAAGGAAAUCAUUGAGGGAGAAGGUCAGAACCGCAAACGUCAACAGCCUAAGAAGCCACGUAUUGUGUACACCUAUGGCAUUUUCCUUGGCAAGGUUCCAUCAACCUGCAGCCACGGUUUCGUUGGAGAUGGAGGGAGAAUGUUCCGAGAAGGCGCAUCAUGAGGAUUCGCCCGCAUGAGUUUGUCAAGACAUUUUCAGUAAAGAUAUCUUUGACGAAAUAGUUUGAGAUGAACAAGUAAUCCAUCGCCCACCCACCGCGGGGUGGUGCCCAAUUAGAGGAAAUGGGCACCAUUAAAUUUGCCAGAGAUACAGGUGUUCUAGGACCAGCACUGUCUGAUGAAUGUAUGUUCAAAGCUGCAGCAGACAAUGCACUGGUCUGUGAAUAAAUAUAUCUACACUCCCUUUUUCUGGCAAAACAAUACCAAGAGUUUGCUACAAUCAGAUCUCAUCGGUUUUGUACUUCAUCAACAACAACAAGGACCAUGACAAUGAAGACCACAACAAUGAGGACCACUUAUGGAAGCUUUGUUCAGUUACCACUCAUCUACAGGAGAGGAAUGCCACAAUACUGACCCUGCUUAGGAGAUUACCAUAGAUGAGAGCUUGUGGAAGUUUAGAGGCCAAAUUGGGAAUGUCAGUACAGCCUGAGCAAACAUGCAAGGUUCAGCCUAAAAUCUAUAAGCUCUGUGUGGCUUGGAGCUUGUGCUAGAUAUGCAUGCACUUUUUGGCUGUAUAUUGGGAAAGAUGGAGACAAGAUGCCUUCCUCUCAGAAGGCCAUUAUGAGCCUUAUGGAAACAGCAGGUCUUUUAGUUACAGGGUAUGAACUGUACCUUGAUAAGUGGUACUGUUCCACCUGAUGGCGCGUAAAACAAACGUUGUUGGGACCAUGAGGGCUAACAGGAAGACUCGAGCGCUAUGGAAUGCACAGGAGGAAUACUCCUACUGGCCUCCUGUACUUGAGAUGGAAGGAUAAAUGCACUAUCCACUUGCUCUCAACAAUCCCCACAUGUGAGAUGGUGCAAACCUGGAGGGUGGGGCAGAGUAGAGAUAUUGAGCAGAAGCCUGUGGUAGUGCUCAACUACAACAUUGGAAUAAAGAAGGUCUGUCAUUCGACGUACCUAGAAAGACACUAAAAUCGUAUAAAAUGGUAUUUUUUUACCAGUUUAAAAUCGCAAAAGUCAUUGCAUUUUUAUGACAAAACUGUUGGCGGUCCCAUUCAAUUGCAAUAUGAUUAGUGUAUUGCAGUCACAAAGGGUCUCCUGAGGGAGUAACUUCCUCAAGGUAGUUCUUUACAACAACAGCCACCCAGUGCAACAAGUGCAUAAAGAUAUGUUGCAGCUGGUAGUGCACCAGCAUUUCUCCAAGAGACUGGAGAAAUACUGCUGCUACCAAGUCUGCUACAGGAGUGGGAUAAGGAAAAUGGUGAAAAACUCCUACAAACAAUGUUGAUGUUGCUCUAUGCAUCUAUGGUUGCUUUGAAGACUACCAUACAAAGAUGUACCGAGGUACUUCACUGUACACAGAUAUUGCAUAGCAAGAUGUUACUUUGUUGUUUUGUACAUUUAUCUCUGUUUAUAGCCAUUUCCUACAUAUGAAACUAUGUAAUUCACCUUUGAAUUUUCAUUUGAAAAAAUAAAGAAAAUGAUGGAA